ACUCUCUUUCCUCUUCUUUCCUUCUCUCAUUCCCCCUGUUUCUCUUCCCUCCAUUUCUCUUCCCUCCGUUUCUCUUCUGUUUCUCUUCCCUUUCUGUUCCCUUCUUUCCUUCCUCCCUUCAUCUUUCCCUCUCUUUUCCUGCCCCCUCUUUUUUUUCCCUCUUCCUCCCUCUCCCUUUGCCUUUCCCUUCCCUGCUCUCCUUCCCUCUUUUCCUCUCCCUCUUUAUCAUGCUUUCCCUCGCUCUGUCUUGUUCUUUCUCCCUCUCGCCCUCCCUCUCUCCUCCGUUUUCCCCCUUUCCCUCUCUCCUCUCUUUUUCUGUCUUUCUUUCUCCCUCUCUCAUUCUUUCCCAUUCUCUCUCUCUCUCCCCGAUUCUCCCUCCCUCUUUCUCUCUGCUCCCUCUCUUUCCUGCUCUCUUGCUCUCCCUCUCUGCCUCUUCAUCCCACUUUCCCUUUCUCUCUUUCUCUCUGCCUGUUUCUGUGGUGCCCACUUUGUCUCACUCUCUUUCUUUCACUCUCUUCCUUUCUUUCGCUCUCCCUCUCUCCUCCUUUCUCUCUCUUUCUCCCUUUCUGUCCUUCUCUCCUUUCCUUCUUUGCCUCUUUCCUCUCUUUUGUUCUUAUACUUUCUCUCCCCUUCUUUCUUUCUCUCUUCCCCCAACUUCUUCUGUUUUCUCCCCUUCUUUCACUCUCCCUUUCUUUCUCUCCCUUCACUCCUUCUUCCUUUCUCCUUCCCUCUUUCUUUCUCUUUCUUUUCUUUCCCUUCCUCCUCUUUCUCUCUUUCACUCUCUCCCCCUUCUCAUGCUUUCCCUUUCUGUCUUGUUCUUUCUCUCUCCCUCUUCUCUCCCUUUCUCCCUCCUCUUUCCUUCUCCUCUUCUCUAUUUCAUUCUCUCCCCUUCCCUCUCUUUCCCCUUAUCUCUCACCUCUUUCUCCUUUUCCUUGUCUGUUUUUUCCAUUCUUCUCUGACCCUCUCUCACUCUUCUUAUCAAACUGUCCCUCUUCCUCCCUCUUCCUCCCUUUUUCUGUCUUCUUCCUGUCUCUCAAUUUCUCUCCCUUUCUUCCCUUUUCUUUCUUGCUUUCUCUCAGCCUCUCCUCCUCUCCCUUGCUUUCUCUUCUGCUUUCUUUUCUCUUCCUUUCUCUCUCUCUUCUUUCUCUCUGUUCCUUUCUCUCCCUUUUUCUCUCUUCCAUUCUCUUCCUCUUUUUUCUCUUCUUUUCUCCCCCUUUUUCUCCCUUCUUUCUCUCCCUCUUUCUCUUUUCUCUCUCCCUUUCUCUCCCUCCCUUUCUUCUUCCUUUCUUUUUCACUCCUUUUCUCUUUUCUUCUCUCUCCUUCUGUUUCUGUCUCCCCGUCUCUUCUUCAUCUUUUUCUGUAAUCUCACUCCCUUUCUCUCUUCUUUCUCCAUUUCUCUCUCCUGCUCUUUUUUCUUGUUGUCUCUCCUUCCCUCCCUCCCUCUCUCCUUCUCUCUUCCUUUCUCUCCCUCCCUUUCUCUCAAUCUUCUUUUUCUCUUCUCUCUCAUUCCUUUUCUCUUCCUUUUUCUUCCUCUUUCUUGCCCUCUCUCCUUCUUCCUCCGUCUCUCUGCUCUCUCCUUCUGUUCUUCUCUGCCUCUCUCUGUCUCCUCUCUAUCACUUUUUCUACCGUUUCCUCUUUCUCCCUCUCUUCUUUCUUUUUUGCUUUCUUCCUCUGUCCUUCUGUAUCUCUUCCUCUCAUUCCCUAUUUUCUCACUCCUGUUCUCACUUUCUCUCACCCCUUCCCUCCUUUCUCUUUACCUCACUUUCUUUCCCUCUCUUUUGCUUUUCUCUCAUCUCUUUUUCCUUCUUGCUCCUUUUCUUUCCCUCUGCCUCCCUCUUUCUCUUUCUUAUACUUUCUCCCCCUUCCUUCUCGCUUUCUCCCUCUUUCUGCCUUUUCUUCUCUUCCUUUCCUUCUUUCCCUCUUCUUAUUCUUUCUCCUUCCCUUUCUUUCCCUUUCUCUCUCCCUCUUUCAUGCUCUCCCUUUUUCUUUCUCCUUCUCUUUCUGCUUUUCUUCCUCUUUAUCCCUCUUCCUCCCUUUCUUACUCUUUUCUCUCCUUUUCUUUCUCUCCCUCUCUCCCCCCUUUCUCUUUCUCUUGUUCUCUUUUUAUCUCUAUUUUCCCCUUUUCUGUCUCUUUCUCCCUCUCUUCUUUCUUACUUCUGUCUCUCCUUUUUUCACUGUCAUUUUUUCUUUCUCCAUCUUUCUCCCUUUCUCACUCCCUUUUCUCUCUACCUCUUUCUUUCUUCCUUUUCAUCCCUCUUUUUUCUUCCUCUCCCCUUCUCUUUUUCUAUCUCACAUUUUUUCUCCUCUUUAUUUCUCCCUCUCCUUUUCUUGCUCUUUCUCUUUUGCUCUUUCUCACUUUCGCUCUCACCCCAUUUUUCUCCCACUUUGUUUCCAUCUUUCUCCCUCUUCCUCCCCCUUUCUUUUUCUUUCUCUCUACCUUGUUCUCUCGUUCUCUUUACCUCUCUCUUCUCUCCUCUUCCUCCUUCUCUCUUCUCUCCCUUCCCUUCUUUCCCUCUCUCAUCUCUUCUCUUUCUGUGCUUGUCUCUUGUCUUCCCUUGCUCUAUUUCUUUCUCUCUGAUCUCGCUCUCUUCUCUCUGUGCUUCUUGUUCAUUCAUUCUUUCUCUCUCCUUUUUUUACCCCUCUUCUUUCUCUCUCUUGCUUGCUCUCUUCCUUUUUUCUUCAUUUUCUUUCCCUCCCUUCCCCCCUUUUUCUCUUUUCCUCUCUCCUUCUCUCUUUUCUUUUUUCUUUCUUCCUCUCUCCUUCCAUCUCUCUCUUGCUCUCUCUCUCAUUAUCCUUCAAGUCAUUUGUUCCUUGCAAACUACUUGA
ensembl:lncRNA